rnacentral:rRNA from 1 species
GACGAACGCUGGCGGCGUGCCUAAUACAUGCAAGUUGAGCGCUGAAGGUUGGUACUUGUACCAACUGGAUGAGCAGCGAACGGGUGAGUAACGCGUGGGGAAUCUGCCUUUGAGCGGGGGACAACAUUUGGAAACGAAUGCUAAUACCGCAUAAAAUCUUUAAACACAAGUUUUAAGUUUGAAAGAUGCAAUUGCAUCACUCAAAGAUGAUCCCGCGUUGUAUUAGCUAGGUGGUGAGGUAAAGGCUCACCAAGGCGAUGAUACAUAGCCGACCUGAGAGGGUGAUCGGCCACAUUGGGACUGAGACACGGCCCAAACUCCUACGGGAGGCAGCAGUAGGGAAUCUUCGGCAAUAGACGAAAGUCUGACCGGGCAACGCCGCGUGAGUGAAGAAGGGUGUCGGAUCGUAAAACUCUGUUGGUAGGGAAGGACGUUGGUGAGAGUGGAAAGCGCAUCAAGUGACGGUAACUACCCAGAAAGGGACGGCUAACUACGUG